AGUGAACGCUGGCGGUAGGCCUAACACAUGCAAGUCGAACGGCAGCACAGUAAGAGCUUGCUCUUACGGGUGGCGAGUGGCGGACGGGUGAGGAAUACAUCGGAAUCUACUUUUUCGUGGGGGAUAACGUAGGGAAACUUACGCUAAUACCGCAUACGACCUACGGGUGAGAGCAGGGGAUCUUCGGACCUUGCGCGAUUGAAUGAGCCGAUGUCGGAUUAGCUAGUUGGCGGGGUAAAGGCCCACCAAGGCGACGAUCCGUAGCUGGUCUGAGAGGAUGAUCAGCCACACUAGAACUGAGACACGGUCCAGACUCCUACGGGAGGCAGCAGUGGGGAAUAUUGGACAAUGGGCGCAAGCCUGAUCCAGCCAUACCGCGUGGGUGAAGAAGGCCUUCGGGUUGUAAAGCCCUUUUGUUGGGAAAGAAAAGCAGCAGGUUAAUACCCCGCUGUUCUGACGGUACCCAAAGAAUAAGCACCGGCUAACUUCGUG
rnacentral:rRNA from 1 species